GGAUGAACGCUGGCGGCGUGCCUAAUACAUGCAAGUCGAGCGAACGGACGAGAAGCUUGCUUCUCUGAUGUUCGCGGCGGACGGGUGAGUAACACGUGGAUAACCUACCUAUAAGACUGGGAUAACUUCGGGAAACCGGAGCUAAUACCGGAUAAUAUUUUGAACCGCAUGGUUCAAAAGUGAAAGACGGUCUUGCUGUCACUUAUAGAUGGAUCCGCGCUGCAUUAGCUAGUUGGUAAGGUAACGGCUUACCAAGGCAACGAUGCAUAGCCGACCUGAGAGGGUGAUCGGCCACACUGGAACUGAGACACGGUCCAGACUCCUACGGGAGGCAGCAGUAGGGAAUCUUCCGCAAUGGGCGAAAGCCUGACGGAGCAACGCCGCGUGAGUGAUGAAGGUCUUCGGAUCGUAAAACUCUGUUAUUAGGGAAGAACAUAUGUGUAAGUAACUGUGCACAUCUUGACGGUACCUAAUCAGAAAGCCACGGCUAACUACGUG
rnacentral:rRNA from 1 species